GUGCUCGCUUUGGCAGCACAUAUACUGAAAUUGGAAUGAUACAAAGAAGAUUAGCAUCGUCCCUGCGCAAGGAUGACACGCAAAUUUGUGAAGCGUUCCAUAGUUUU